AGCUUUUGUCCUAAGUCAAGGUUUUAAAAUUUUGACCAACUAUAUAGAAAAGAGUAGUAACAUAUAUGACCCCAAAUUGGUAUUAUGAAAGUACAUUUUGAAACGGAUCUAUUGAUACUAAUUUAGUGUCAUAAAUGCUACUGUUUUUCCCUAUAAAGUUGGUCAAAGUUUUAAAACUUUGACUUAGGACAAAAACUA
rnacentral:pre_miRNA from 1 species